CCUACGGGUGGCAGCAGUGAGGAAUAUUGGUCAAUGGCCGGAAGGCUGAACCAGCCAUGCCGCGUGAAGGUCAGUGCCCUAUGGGCGUUAAACUUCUUUUGUGCGGGUGCAAUAAUGGUCACGUGUGGCCCGACGAUAGUACCGUACGAAUAAGCAACGGCUAACUCCGUUCCCGCCGCCGCCGUAAUACGGGGGAUGCAAGCGUUAUCCGGAUUUAUUUGGUUUUAAGGUUUCGUAGGCUGUGAGGUAAGUCAGCGGGGAAAUGCCCCCGCUCAACGGGGUGAAGUGCCAUUGAUACUGGCUUGCUGGAAUGCGUAUGACGUGGGAGGAAUGUGUGGUGGAGCGGUGAAAUGCAUAGAUAUCACACAGAACACCGAUUGCGAAGGCAUCUCACGAAUCCGCGAUUGACGCUGAUGCACGAAAGCGUGGGUAUCAAACAGGAUUAGAUACCCGAGUAGUC
rnacentral:rRNA from 1 species